rnacentral:rRNA from 1 species
AGAGUUUGAUCAUGGCUCAGGACGAACGCUGGCGGCGUGCUUAACACAUGCAAGUCGAACGAUGAAGCCCAGCUUGCUGGGUGGAUUAGUGGCGAACGGGUGAGUAACACGUGGGUGAUCUGCCCUGCACUUCGGGAUAAGCCUGGGAAACUGGGUCUAAUACCGGAUAUGACCAAGGACUGCAUGGUUUUUGGUGGAAAGGUUUACUGGUGCAGGAUGAGCCCGCGGCCUAUCAGCUUGUUGGUGGGGUAAUGGCCUACCAAGGCGACGACGGGUAGCCGGCCUGAGAGGGCGACCGGCCACACUGGGACUGAGACACGGCCCAGACUCCUACGGGAGGCAGCAGUGGGGAAUAUUGCACAAUGGGCGAAAGCCUGAUGCAGCGACGCCGCGUGAGGGAUGACGGCCUUCGGGUUGUAAACCUCUUUCAGCAGGGACGAAGCGCAAGUGACGGUACCUGCAGAAGGAGCACCGGCCAACUACGUGCCAGCAGCCGCGGUAAUACGUAGGGUGCGAGCGUUGUCCGGAAUUACUGGGCGUAAAGAGCUCGUAGGCGGUUUGUCGCGUCGUCUGUGAAAACCCGCAGCUCAACUGCGGGCUUGCAGGCGAUACGGGCAGACUUGAGUACUGCAGGGGAGACUGGAAUUCCUGGUGUAGCGGUGAAAUGCGCAGAUAUCAGGAGGAACACCGGUGGCGAAGGCGGGUCUCUGGGCAGUAACUGACGCUGAGGAGCGAAAGCGUGGGUAGCGAACAGGAUUAGAUACCCUGGUAGUCCACGCCGUAAACGGUGGGCGCUAGGU